GGGCGGAAGCCUGAUGCAGCAACGCCGCGUGAGGGAUGACGGCCUUCGGGUUGUAAACCUCUUUUAGCAGGGAAGAAGCGAGAGUGACGGUACCUGCAGAAAAAGCGCCGGCUAACUACGUGCCAGCAGCCGCGGUAAUACGUAGGGCGCAAGCGUUAUCCGGAAUUAUUGGGCGUAAAGAGCUCGUAGGCGGUCUGUCGCGUCUGCUGUGAAAUCCCGAGGCUCAACCUCGGGCUUGCAGUGGGUACGGGCAGACUAGAGUGCGGUAGGGGAGAUUGGAAUUCCUGGUGUAGCGGUGGAAUGCGCAGAUAUCAGGAGGAACACCGAUGGCGAAGGCAGAUCUCUGGGCCGUAACUGACGCUGAGGAGCGAAAGGGUGGGGAGCAAACAGGCUUAGAUACCCUGGUAGUCCACCCCGUAAACGUUGGGAACUAGUUGUGGGGUCCUUUCCACGGAUUCCGUGACGCAGCUAACGCAUUAAGUUCCCCGCCUGG
rnacentral:rRNA from 1 species